AAGAAGCUUGCUUCUUCUGAUGGCGACCGGCGCACGGGUGCGUAACGCGUAUCAAACCUGCCUCAUACUCGGGGAUAGCCUUGCGAAAGUAAGAUUAAUACCCGAUGUUGUUAUGUUACCGCAUGGUGAUAUAACCAAAGAUUUAUCGGUAUGAGAUGGUGAUGCGUCCGAUUAGGUAGUAGGCGGGGUAACGGCCCACCUAGCCUUCGAUCGGUAGGGGUUCUGAGAGGAAGGUCCCCCACACUGGAACUGAGACACGGUCCAGACUCCUACGGGAGGCAGCAGUGAGGAAUAUUGGUCAAUGGACGGAAGUCUGAACCAGCCAAGUAGCGUGCAGGAUGACGGCCCUCUGGGUUGUAAACUGCUUUUAGUUGGGAGUAAAAAAGAGGACGUGUCCUCUAUUGUAUGUACCUUCAGAAAAAGGACCGGCUAAUUCCGUGCCAGCAGUCGCGGUAAUACGGAAGGUCCAGGCGUUAUCCGGAUUUAUUGGGUUUAAAGGGAGCGUAGGCGGAUUAUUAAGUCAGUGGUGAAAGACGGUGGCUCAACCAUCGUUAGCCAUUGAAACUGGUAGUCUUGAGUGCAGACAGGGAUGCUGGAACUCGUGGUGUAGCGGUGAAAUGCUUAGAUAUCACGAUGAACUCCGAUCGCGAAGGCAGGUGUCCGGGCUGCAACUGACGCUGAGGCUCGAAAGUGUGGGUAUCAAACAGGAUUAGAUACCCUGGUAGUCCACACAGUAAACGAUGUAUACUCGCGGUUUGCGAUAGACAGU
rnacentral:rRNA from 1 species